rnacentral:misc_RNA from 1 species
GGUACCGCGAGCAGGCUGAAGAUCGUCUGUACCGUGAGCAGGUUGAAGAUCGUGGGUACCGUGAACAUCCUCAUUUGCAUGGAAGGGGCUUGAAUACAUCUACUUUGAUUCCAUUAGCCCCUCUUCGACCUUUACCACCACUUGUUCAAUCUUAUGCAUAUGACAGGACUUUGGGAAGAGAUCCUUAUGGACGGGACACAGUGAUACCGCAUAAUGAUUCUUACAGGCAGAGGCGAUUGGUGGAACUAGCUGAUCCUUAUAGGCGGGACACUGUGAUAGGCAAUCCGGAUGUUCACAGAGGACGAGCAUUGUUAGAGUCACAUGAUCACUACAGACGGGAGGGAAUUUCAGAGCCUCGUGAGUAUCGUCAGCCUCUGAAUUUGGAAACUAGACUCCAGGUUGCUGGUGGGAUUAAUGAUUCAUAUGUGCCAUACCGUGAGCGGCUAUCAUACCAUGAUCUUCCUGUUAACUCAGUGCGCUCCCAGCCCGAGUUUAACCCCCCUCCAGCUGGUUUGCGAUCAGAAUACCUCCAUGGUGGUACAUCUACUGUGUUCAGUUCUGCCAGAAGCAUGCUUCCUGAGUACCCUUCAUCUUCAGCGGGCCCUCUGUACAGGCACCCUCAUCGACGUGAACAUCGUUUUUAGGUUUACAAAAAGGUAACCAUCACAUGUGGUUCUGGUAAUCAGAAUCAUGCACAGCUUAAAACUUGAGACUAUCUAGAAUGUUUUCAGAAUCCAUUGGGG